CCUACGGGGGGCAGCAGUGGGGAAUAUUGCACAAUGGGCGCAAGCCUGAUGCAGCCAUGCCGCGUGUGUGAAGAAGGCCUUCGGGUUGUGAAGCACUUUCAGCGGGGAGGAAGGCGGUGAGGUUAAUAACCUCAUCGAUUGACGUUACCCGCAGAAGAAGCACCGGCUAACUCCGUGCCAGCAGCCGCGGUAAUACGGAGGGUGCAAGCGUUAAUCGGAAUUACUGGGCGUAAAGCGCACGCAGGCGGUCUGUCAAGUCGGAUGUGAAAUCCCCGGGCUCAACCUGGGAACUGCAUUCGAAACUGGCAGGCUAGAGUCUUGUAGAGGGGGGUAGAAUUCCAGGUGUAGCGGUGAAAUGCGUAGAGAUCUGGAGGAAUACCGGUGGCGAAGGCGGCCCCCUGGACAAAGACUGACGCUCAGGUGCGAAAGCGUGGGGAGCAAACAGGAUUAGAUACCCCUGUAGUC
rnacentral:rRNA from 1 species